rnacentral:ncRNA from 1 species
GCAAAACCUUUGAAAAGAAGAGUACUUAUCUAAGUUGUUUGGAAGAGACCCUUGUUGGCUGAAAAUAGGGAACAAUUAGGAUAAGGAAGAUGGUCUUUGAGAUGAAUAGGCGAGCUGUAUGCAAACUUAUUACGGAAGUGCCCGUUAAAGCACCACGGUAUUGGAUUGUACUGUAUGAGUCUGUUGCUGUGAAGCAAUAGAAAACUAAGGUGGUAACACGAAAUAAACGCUUUCGUCCUUUUU